CCAGCAGCCGCGGUAAUUCCAGCUCCAAUAGCGUAUAUUAAAGUUGUUGCAGUUAAAAAGCUCGUAGUUGAACUUUGGGCCCGGUUGGCCGGUCCGAUUUUUUCGUGUACUGGAUUUCCAACGGGGCCUUUCCUUCUGGCUAACCUUGAGUCCUUGUGGCUCUUGGCGAACCAGGACUUUUACUUUGAAAAAAUUAGAGUGUUCAAAGCAGGCGUAUUGCUCGAAUAUAUUAGCAUGGAAUAAUAGAAUAGGACGUUUGGUUCUAUUUUGUUGGUUUCUAGGACCAUCGUAAUGAUUAAUAGGGACGGUAGGGGGCAUCAGUAUUCAAUUGUCAGAGGUGAAAUUCUUGGAUUUAUUGAAGAC
rnacentral:rRNA from 1 species